rnacentral:tRNA from 1 species
UUUCCUUGGGUUUAUCCCUCCUGGAAACUCAAAUUUUCCUGUGCCUAACACCGAAGAAAA